UACGUAGGCAGCAAGCGUUGUUCGGAAUUACUGGGCGUAAAGAGUGUGUAGGCGGUGCUCUAAGUCUGGUGUGAAAUCUCCCGGCUUAACUGGGAGGGUGCAUUAGAAAACUGGAAUGCUAGAGGAUGGGAGAGGUAAGCGGAAUUCCUGGUGUAGCGGUGAAAUGCGUAGAUAUCAGGAGGAACACCUGUGGUGUAGACAGCUUACUGGACCAUUUCUGACGCUGAGACACGAAAGCGUGGGUAGCAAACAGG
rnacentral:rRNA from 1 species